rnacentral:lncRNA from 1 species
UCUAGCAUUCUUGUUCAUACAUUUCUUGUUCUUAUUGCCCCACUUUACUUUAAUCUUUCACAUUGUCAUUUUUCAUCAUUCUUUACAUCACGUUAGUUCUUUGCAUCACACUAACUCUAGUGUCUCUUUACUUUACAUUUUCAAAUGCCACUCGAUCUAUGUCAUUGUGUCACUCUGUUCUUUUGCUCACUUUGGGUGCUCACUUUUCUCUCAUGCAUACACAUAGGGUUUUCGACGUUUACAUAGUUAUCAUUCAUCAUAUUAUGCAAGUUGUACUCACAAUCAUGCAACAUUACAUUUUCAUCAUCACUUUACCCUAAAAUGCAUGCAAC